UCCGGUUUGUCACCGGCAGUCUCCUAUGAGUCCCCGGCAUGACCCGCUGGCAACUAAGGACAGGGGUUGCGCUCGUUGCGCCACUUAAGGCAACGCCUCACGGCACGAGCUGACGACAGCCAUGCACCACCUGUGCAGGCUCCGAAGAGCGCCCGCUUUCACGGGUCCUACCCUGCAUGUCAAGCCCAGGUAAGGUUCUUCGCGUCGCAUCGAAUUAAGCCGCAUGCUCCGCCGCUUGUGCGGGGCCCCGUCAAUUCCUUUGAGUUUCAGUCUUGCGACCGUACUCCCCAGGCGGCGAACUUAACGCGUUAGCUUCGAUACUGCGUGCCAAAUUGCACCCAACAUCCAGUUCGCAUCGUUUAGGGCGUGGACUAC
rnacentral:misc_RNA from 1 species